AAAAAUGAGGUAGAGUUGAUUUACAAUGUUAUAUAAGCGUCAGGUGUACAAUAUAGUGAUUCACAAUUUUUAAAGGUUAUACUCCAUUUAUAGUCAUUAUAAAAUACUGGCUCUACUCCCUGUGCUGUUACAAUAUAUCCUUGUCACCUAUUUUUUUUAUGUAUAUUAG